UACGAAGGGGGCUAGCGUUGUUCGGAAUUACUGGGCGUAAAGGGCUUGUAGGCGGCCAACUAAGUCAGACGUGAAAUCCCUCGGCUUAACCGGGGAACUGCGUCUGAUACUGGAUGGCUUGAGUUCGGGAGAGGGAUGCGGAAUUCCAGGUGUAGCGGUGAAAUGCGUAGAUAUCUGGAGGAACACCGGUGGCGAAGGCGGCAUCCUGGACCGACACUGACGCUGAUGAGCGAAAGCCAGGGGAGCAAACAGG
rnacentral:rRNA from 1 species